UACGAAGGGGGCUAGCGUUGUUCGGAAUUACUGGGCGUAAAGCGCACGUAGGCGGACAUUUAAGUCAGGGGUGAAAUCCCGGAGCUCAACUCCGGAACUGCCUUUGAUACUGGGUGUCUUGAGUGUGGAAGAGGUGAGUGGAAUUCCGAGUGUAGAGGUGAUAUUCGUAGAUAUUCGGAGGAACACCAGUGGCGAAGGCGGCUCACUGGUCCAUUACUGACGCUGAGGUGCGAAAGCGUGGGGAGCAAACAGG
rnacentral:rRNA from 1 species